CUACGGGUGGCACCAGUAAGGAAUAUUGGUCAAUGGACGCAAGUCUGAACCAGCCAUGCCGCGUGAAGGAUGAAGGUCCUCUGGAUUGUAAACUUCUUUUAUAGGGGGCGAAAAAAGGGAAAUCUUUCUCACUUGACAGUACCCUAUGAAUAAGCACCGGCUAACUCCGGGCCAGCAGCCGCGGUAAUACGGAGGGUGCAAGCGUUAUCCGGAUUCACUGGGUUUAAAGGGUGCGUAGGCGAGCGUAUAAGUCAGUGGUGAAAUCCUGGAGCUUAACUCCAGAACUGCCAUUGAUACUAUAUGUCUUGAAUAUGGUGGAGGUAAGCGGAAUAUGUCAUGUAGCGGUGAAAUGCAUAGAUAUGACAUAGAACACCUAUUGCGAAGGCAGCUUACUACGCCUAUAUUGACGCUGAGGCACGAAAGCGUGGGGAUCAAACAGGAUUAGAUACCCCGGUAGUC
rnacentral:rRNA from 1 species